UGGGGAAUAUUGCACAAUGGGCGCAAGCCUGAUGCAGCCAUGCCGCGUGUGUGAAGAAGGCCUUCGGGUUGUGAAGCACUUUCAGCGGGGAGGAAGGCGAUAAGGUUAAUAACCUUGUCGAUUGACGUUACCCGCAGAAGAAGCACCGGCUAACUCCGUGCCAGCAGCCGCGGUAAUACGGAGGGUGCAAGCGUUAAUCGGAAUUACUGGGCGUAAAGCGCACGCAGGCGGUCUGUCAAGUCGGAUGUGAAAUCCCCGGGCUCAACCUGGGAACUGCAUUCGAAACUGGCAGGCUAGAGUCUUGUAGAGGGGGGUAGAAUUCCAGGUGUAGCGGUGAAAUGCGUAGAGAUCUGGAGGAAUACCGGUGGCGAAGGCGGCCCCCUGGACAAAGACUGACGCUCAGGUGCGAAAGCGUGGGGAGCAAACAGG
rnacentral:rRNA from 1 species